UUAGAGUUUGAUCCUGGCUCAGGCUGAACGCUGGCGGCGUGCCUAACACAUGCAAGUCGAACGAAGCACUCUGACUUCUUCGGAAAGAGGAGUGACUGAGUGGCGGACGGGUGAGUAACGCGUGGGUAACCUGCCUCAUACAGGGGGAUAACAGCUGGAAACGGCUGCUAAUACCGCAUAAGCGCACAGUACCGCAUGGUGCAGUGUGAAAAGUUUUUUCGGUAUGAGAUGGACCCGCGUCUGAUUAGCUGGUUGGUGAGGUAACGGCUCACCAAGGCGACGAUCAGUAGCCGGCCUGAGAGGGUGGACGGCCACAUUGGGACUGAGACACGGCCCAAACUCCUACGGGAGGCAGCAGUGGGGAAUAUUGCACAAUGGGGGGAACCCUGAUGCAGCGACGCCGCGUGAGUGAAGAAGUAUUUCGGUAUGUAAAGCUCUAUCAGCAGGGAAGAAAAUGACGGUACCUGACUAAGAAGCUCCGGCUAAAUACGUGCCAGCAGCCGCGGUAAUACGUAUGGAGCAAGCGUUAUCCGGAUUUACUGGGUGUAAAGGGUGCGUANGCGGCAUGGCAAGUCAGAAGUGAAAGCCCGGGGCUCAACCCCGGUAGUGCNUUUGANACUGCUGAGCUUGAGUACGGGAGAGGGUAGCGGAAUUCCUAGUGUAGCGGUGAAAUGCGUAGAUAUUAGGAGGAACACCAGUGGCGAAAGCGGCUACUGGACCGUACUGACGCUGAGGCAAGAAAGCGUGGGGAGCAUACAGGAUUAGAUACCAUGGUAGUCCACGCCGUAAACGAUGAAUAGUAGAUGUCGGGGUUGCAGAGGUUUCGGUGCCGUCGCAAACGCAGUAAGUAUUCCACCUGGGGAGUACGUUCGCAAGAAUGAAACUCAAAGGAAUUGACGGGGACCCGCACAAGCGGUGGAGCAUGUGGUUUAAUUUGAAGCCACGCGAAGAACCUUACCAAGUCUUGACAUCCCUGUGACCGGAACUUAACCGUUCUUUUCCUUCGGGACAGAGGAGACAGCUGGUGCAUGGUUGUCGUCAGCUCGCGUCGUGAGAUGUUGGGUUCAGUCCCGCAAUGAGCGCAACCCUUAUCUUCAGUAGCCAGCACGUAGUGGUGGGCACUCUGGAGAGCCUGCCAGGGAUAACCUGGAGGAAGGUGGGGAUGACGUCAUAUCAUCAUGCCCCUUAUGAUCUGGGCUACACACGUGAUACAAUGACAGGUACAGAGUGAAGCGAACCCGCGAGGGGGAGCCAACCACAAGAGAAGCUGUCUCUGCUCGGAUUGUAGUCUGCAACUAGACUACAUGAAGUUGGAAUCGAUAGUAAUCGCGAAUCAGAAUGUCGCGGAGAAUACGUUCACCGGGUCCUGUACACACCGCCCGUCA
rnacentral:rRNA from 1 species